ACGGAGGGUGCAAGCGUUAUCCGGAUUCACUGGGUUUAAAGGGUGUGUAGGCGGGUAAUUAAGUCAGUGGUGAAAUCUCCGGGCUCAACCUGGAAACUGCCAUUGAUACUAUUUAUCUUGAAUAUCGUUGAGGUUGGCGGAAUAUAUCAUGUAGCGGUGAAAUGCAUAGAUAUGAUAUAGAACACCGAUUGCGCAGGCAGCUGGCUAAACGAUGAUUGACGCUGAGGCACGAAAGCGUGGGGAUCAAACAGGA
rnacentral:rRNA from 1 species